rnacentral:rRNA from 1 species
UGACCCCAACUCAGUCGUGAUUACCCGCUGAAUUUAAGCAUAUAAUUAAGCGGAGGAAAAGAAACUAA